GCUCAAACCUUUUUUUACAGAAAGCUUCUCCUACUGCCCAGAAGGAAAAUUUCUUCCCAGUUGCUCACCUAAUUGUGCAUCUUGUCUACAAUCAGAAAGUUUCACUGGCUCUAUCUGUGAUGGAACUUCACUGCCACUGCCUGCCACUUUCACUGUUAAUGGAAAACAAUGAAGUAUCUGGCAGGAUCAGUUACAUUAAGGUGUGAUUUCCUGCUAGAGUAAGAUCUGGAUGCCAAAGGGAGACUGAAUAUGAACUAAGCUGUUCAUUCCUGCUUUAGCCAUGCCCUGGAAGAACAUAUCAUACCACUCAAGUCACUUUAGAGACAUUAAAAAGGCACCAAGAAAUAGUGUUAACAAAGUCAAGACAAAUUGUGUUCAUCUGGAGAGUUAGAGGUACGUUGAACCUGAUGUCUUAUCAUUCCUUUUUUUUAAUAAAUAACCAACUACUAAAGAAAUACAGGCAGGUCUGAAUGAGUGUCUAGAGACAGCACAUCAAAAAAUGCAUAUAUAACAAUGCUGCUGUAAAGACUGCCCAAUAAUCACAGCCUACAUUAAUUCCAGAAACCACACAACUGAUAUUCCUUGGCUUCAUUUUUAAGGCAGCAUUUGGAAAGUUAUGUGCACUAAUCCUGUAACAGUAAUGGGAUUUGUGUUUCCAGCACAAGCAUAGCUUUGAAAAUAUAACCAUAAGAGUCCCAUGCAGCAGUCAAAGUAAUCUCUGGCUUCUGAGAAAGAAGAACAACUUUGCAAACAUUUUGUCAC